rnacentral:rRNA from 1 species
GAUGAACGCUGGCGGCGUGCUUAACACAUGCAAGUCGAACGGAAAGGCUCCUGCUUGCAGGGGUACUCGAGUGGCGAACGGGUGAGUAACACGUGGGUGAUCUGCCCAGCACUUCGGGAUAAGCCUGGGAAACUGGGUCUAAUACCGGAUAGGACGAUGGUUUGGAUGCCAUUGUGGAAAGUUUUUUCGGUGUGGGGUGAGCUCGCGGCCUAUCAGCUUGUUGGUGGGGUAAUGGCCUACCAAGGCGUCGACGGGUAGCCGGCCUGAGAGGGUGUACGGCCACAUUGGGACUGAGAUACGGCCCAGACUCCUACGGGAGGCAGCAGUGGGGAAUAUUGCACAAUGGGCGCAAGCCUGAUGCAGCGACGCCGCGUGGGGGAUGACGGCCUUCGGGUUGUAAACUCCUUUCGCUAGGGACGAAGCGCAAGUGACGGUACCUGGAGAAGAAGCACCGGCUAACUACGUG